rnacentral:rRNA from 1 species
AACGAACGCUGGCGGCAGGCUUAACACAUGCAAGCCGAGGGGUAUAUUUCUUUCGGGAGAUAGAGACCGGCGCACGGGUGCGUAACGCGUAUGCAACUUGCCCUACUGAAAAGGAUAGCCCUUCGAAAGGAGGAUUAAUACUUUAUAAUAGAAAUCAUGGCAUCAUGAAUUUUUGAAAGAUUUAUCGCAGUAGGAUAGGCAUGCGUAAGAUUAGUUAGUUGGUGAGGUAACGGCUCACCAAGACGAUGAUCUUUAGGGGGCCUGAGAGGGUGAACCCCCACACUGGUACUGAGACACGGACCAGACUCCUACGGGAGGCAGCAGUGAGGAAUAUUGGACAAUGGGUGGAAGCCUGAUCCAGCCAUCCCGCGUGUAGGAUGACGGCCUUAUGGGUUGUAAACUACUUUUAUCUGGGGAUAAACCUACUCACGUGUGAGUAGCUGAAGGUACCAGAAGAAUAAGCACCGGCUAACUCCGUGCCAGCAGCCGCAGUAAGAC